ACUUCAGGCCAUCUGGAUGUAUACGUGCAAGUCACAGGGGAUGUGAUGGCUUGGCUUGGGAUCAGAGACCUGACAGUUAUCAUCCUUGUGGCAUCUUCAAAUUCAGAGAAUCCUUCUGGAUUUUUGGACUUUUUUCUCCCUCAACGUGGAUUAAAUGUUGGACUUUUCUCACUCAACUUGGAUUGAAUGUUGUCAUAGAGAUCUAACAGCAAGUGAACUAAUGCUGAUUCAAAGACACCAAGAGAGGGGGCGAAAUGGAAGGUGUGAAAUCACAGAAACCAAGGAGCCAAGAAGAUUGAUACAUGACUGGAGCCUGAAUGGUAGAACUUUUUCAGAAGUGAGGAGUCUGUUGGCCCAGAAGAUCUGCGGUAAGAUCUGCCUCAACAUACCUUACUCAUUUUUUUCAAAGAGACUCUAGAGUCUAAAAUGAACAACCAAUCAAUUCUACAAACAUUGCAUCAUGAGGAGUUGCUGCACCUCUUCUCCAGGAUUUGCAAAACGUGUAGUCCAAAUCGAGUUCGGCUAGAACUGGUCUGUCAUCAAGAUAUGGCUCAUGAAAGAGAUUGGUGUUUAGGAGGCUGGGAAAAGGAAAUAUUUUGAGAGACUUCAUGUGCUCCGCACAUGGAGGUGGCUUCCUUUUGCCUCAGGUGAAGGGAGCUUCAACAAGAUCACUCAGAGUUUGAUCAAUGAUCUUAGAAUUUGCAGAACAUAGGGACUGCCAUUUGACUCACCCUUUAGAAGUCAGGAGGAAAGGUUACGUGGCUGGCACUUCUCAUGUCUGGGAAGGAACAACUGUGAAGUGCUGACCUAGACGAAUGUUGCACUUCCGCUGAUGAGUAGGCAAUGGCGAAUGUUUUCCAGGGUCCAAAUGUGGACCCGGCAACAGAGAGGCUGUCUGUAAUCACUUUAUAAGAGACACUAACAACAAUGACCACUGGGACUAAAGAGAGCACAACGGAAGUAGUUCUGCCAGAAGGGCUGAGGAGAGGGCUGAGCAACCACCCUCAGGGGAGGCAGACCCACAUCAAAGACAUCUCAGCAGUCCCUUUCCCAUGAAAGAAAGAGCUAGAAAUUGUCCAUUUGACACACACACAAACCAGAUCCCAGAUUGCAAUUGAUUCAGAUAAUGAAAAGCUUGUUCUUUUCACUUGCUGUUCUAGCCUAACCAUGUAGGUGUCAGAAGCAGUUGUAGGCUAGGAGAGAAGUCGGAGCAAUACAGAAGCCAGUUCUGCCUUUGCCUCAAGAUCCACUGUCCACUCAGAGGCAGGCUGGCACAUGGGGGAUGAGAACAUUCCAAGAAAGAUGUGAAUCUGGAAUUUUCAUUUAUGCAGUAGAUGGGGAUUUACUACUGAAAGGAACAUGUUUUGGCAACUAAUAGUGACCAAAAGAAUUUGUACUUACUAAAAAUUAUCUUAAAAGCAUGGGAUUACCCUAGCAUUUUGUUUCAGAAACUGAAAUUAACAGAAAACUAUAAAAUUACUUUCUGCCUGAAACCUAAGAAGGUGAACUCAUGCCAGAAACCAGUUACAUUCACAAUUACCUGGAUUUUGUUAUUUCCUACAAUGAAUAAAACUUAUUAUAAAGCAGAAAAGC
rnacentral:lncRNA from 1 species